GUGGUUGCAAAAGGGCUGUUUAUUGCCAACAGAAGGAAAUAUAAGUACACAGGUGAGAAGAAACAAGCAGAGAUUUAGCCCUCUCCAUCCCAUGUGAGCAGUACCCUGGCUCCACAGCGUGGGUGUGUGUGUUUCAAUUCAAAUAAAUCAGAAUUCUUUUCAAAAAGGAAGCAAAAAUGAACAGUUCAGGGUUUUGAGGACCUCCCUUUGCCAAGCUGCCCAAAGGUUAAGGAAAAGCAGGGCUGCCUUGCUCAGUUGUUGUUGUUGUUAUUUGGUCCAGGCUGGGUCUGUGCAGGGGAGCAGGUCUUCCCCCCGCCUGGCUCCCCGCUGUCCCCACUCAGCGAGAAUUGGCUUUGUCAGUGAGUUUUUCAUUGCAAAGUUUAAUAUGGGGGGAAUUGCACCGUGGCGUGGCACUUUCUCCAAAAGGUGAGUAUUUUUGGAGCGAAAGAAAACUGCAUCCUUUUGUAAAAGCAAAGGAGAGAAGGUUUCUUUCCAUUUAUUCUUGUGGGAAACAUGGAAUGAGCAAGUUUUUUGCUCAGGGCUCAGUUGAAGGCUGCUCUUGCAGACAUGCUGACUGGGGCCAGUGCCAGGCUUUGCAGAGGUUUUUGCCUGGGAGACCGACCCCAUCCCCAUGUCAGGGCUGGUGGGGAAGGCCCAGAGCAGGCCAGGCAAAAACCCGGCCACCGCAAGCGACAGUUUCCUCAUCCAAGCACCCAACGGGCUCCUAAUCUAAAGCUGUUUCCAUAAAUCAAGACAUAACCCCCCUAAAAUGUUAGCAGCUUCCUCCCUUCUCCACAUGCACUUCCAUCUUUUGAGGGACCAGACUUUGCAGUUGCAAAGACAACACAUAAGCAAGAAAUCCAACUAACAAUCACCCUGACCUCCCAAAACAACCACUGUGAAACGGGGUGGGAAGGGGAGCCUGGGUUCCCAUCACAACUGUGCUGGUCCAGCCCGUGAGUUUAUGAAUUAAGGGCAUAUUUAGCUACCAUGGUGCACACAAACACUUUUAAUUGCUUGGAAAGCGAACUCAUAGUGCAAUAAUUAAAAACGGGAAACAAAGCCAUGUAACAUGUCACUUGGAAAGAAAGCCACCGUGAGGGUUGUGGGUUUUUUGGCUGGCUUGGUUUUUUGCUUCGGAACAAAGGUCAAUACAGAGAAAUGCAAACUCAGUAGAUGCCAAGAUGGUAGGAGCUGUUUAACAAUGAGGACAAGACCAACUACCAGGAUCCCUCUAACCUUCACCACUCAAAGGGUGAGGGAUUGUGCAAGCUAAACACAGGCAGGGAGGGGGGAAAGAAAAGGUCCUAUCGCUUGGUGUGCUUUGCCAUCAGUGCUGUCUAAAACACAUACCUGAGGUAUCAAAGCACCUGAGUGUUUCUCUAUCUUCAUGCUUAUUUUCAGCUAUACUCCAAGAAACUGUACUCCUGAAGUCCAUCACCCUCCCUCGUAGCCAAACCAGCAAACUUUAUCGUCUCUUAAUUAUAGAGUCAUUUUUCUUAUGACGAAGGAGUUCUUUAAAGGUGUUAAUUUUGUCCCUUUUCUCAUCGUGCAGUGCCUGUACCUGCAUUAUCUGCUCUGAUUUUUGGUUUUUGCUUAAAAAGCAAACCUGCAGUCAGUGUCAGUGCGAAGAGUGGUCACAGGAGAAGAUACUCUGUCACUUAGAGCUGUGACUGGAUCUAAAGCCUCAUGAUCUCCUAAAAUUGUUUUUUAAGUGAGUUCUUGGCUGAUGCUUGGCAUAGAGACUUAACACGAGUGGUUUCCUCUUGGGGUUUGUGUCGCCUUUGACCACUGAAGGGUGAGAAAGGGAGGAUACGUGAUUAUACUACUGUAACCUUACAAAAAGCUGGUGAGUUGUGUAUCAUAAGGUGCUUUCUCCUCACUGGUAGAUGGAGAGACUCAGCUAAUAACAGUGUCUAUCAUAAAACCCCAAACCUCUCAGUGCUCAGGGCUCAUUUCUUUUGCAGUCUCUAACAAAUCGGGCCCUCUGCCCCCAGCCCCGGGUAAGGCUUUAGUCUCCUUUUGGAAUGUGCAAAAUCAGGCAGGUGAGGUUUUCCAACGCACGUAUUUGGUGCUGAAACCAUACUCCUCCUGAAGCCAAGGUGAACUUGAGUGAGUCUUGAGCGCUGCUUCGCUUCCUACCAGGCAGUUUGGGUUGUGAAGACCACCCAGAAGA
rnacentral:lncRNA from 1 species